rnacentral:lncRNA from 1 species
UUGUCCUGAAGGGAGAAGAGCAACCUGGCCCACAGCCUGCAGGUGGCCCAGCAGCAGGCCAAGGAGCUGCGGCAGGAGCGGAAGAAGCUGCAGGCUGCCCAGGAGGAGCUGCGGCGCCAGCGGUACUGGCUGGGGGAAGAGCAGGAGGACGCAGUGCAGGAUGGUGUGCGGGUGCGCCGGGAGCUUGAGCACAGCCAUAGACAACUGGAGCAGCUGGAAGGGAAGCGCUCAGUCCUGGCCAAGGAGCUGGUGGAGGUGAGGGAGGCGCUGAGCCGCGCCACACUGCAACGGGACAUGCUGCAGGCCGAGAAGGCCGAGGUGGCCGAGGCGCUGACCAAGGUGGG